rnacentral:rRNA from 1 species
GACGAACGCUGGCGGCGUGCUUAACACAUGCAAGUCGAACGGAAAGGCCCUGCUUUUGUGGGGUGCUCGAGUGGCGAACGGGUGAGUAACACGUGAGUAACCUGCCCUUGACUUUGGGAUAACUUCAGGAAACUGGGGCUAAUACCGGAUAGGAGCUCCUGCUGCAUGGUGGGGGUUGGAAAGUUUCGGCGGUUGGGGAUGGACUCGCGGCUUAUCAGCUUGUUGGUGGGGUAGUGGCUUACCAAGGCUUUGACGGGUAGCCGGCCUGAGAGGGUGACCGGCCACAUUGGGACUGAGAGACGGCCCAGACGCCUACGGGAGGCAGCAGUCGGGAAUAUUGCACAAUGGGCGGAAGCCUGAUGCGGCAACGCCGCGUGCGGGAUGACGGCCUUGGGGGUGUAAACCGCUUUCGCCUGUGACGAAGCGUGAGUGACGGUAAUGGGUAAAGAAGCACCGGCUAACUACGUG